GACGAACGCUGGCGGCGUGCCUAACACAUGCAAGUCAAAGGGAAGCAUCUUCGGAUGUAAGUACUUGGCGCAAGGGUGAGUAAUGUAUAGGUAAUCUGCCCUUUGGACUGGGAUAACCCCGAGAAAUCGGGGACAAUACCAGAUGAUGCAGCGGAACCGCAUGGUUAUGUUGUUAAAGAUUUAUCGCCAAAGGAUGAACCUAUAUCCCAUCAGGUAGUUGGUAAGGUAACGGCUUACCAAGCCUACGACGGGUAGCUGGUUUGAGAGGAUGAUCAGCCACACUGGGACUGAGACACGGCCCAGACACCUACGGGUGGCAG
rnacentral:rRNA from 1 species